CCAGAGGCAUAAUUUUUUCAAAUAAUUUUUAGUAACAGAAUAAAUUCUAACUUUUUAAAGUCUAAAGCUACAUAAAGCUCAAAGCAAUCUAUUUUUUUACCUGAGGUCAAAAUGACUUUCCUUUUUCCUAACUAAACAUAAUUCUUAGCAUUGAGGUAAAUCUGAAUUCAUGUGGUAUACUUUGUCAAACUUUUCCAAAAAAUUUUAAGCCCUGCUUUAGAGAGAAAUUCUCAUGUUACACAUAUAUAUUUACAUAUUUUUUCUUCAAAGACUAAUGACAAUGUAUGAGGUUAAUAGGCCUGUAAUGAAACCAUGAUACUACUAAUAAUAUGAAAUAAAAAGCCACUCAUUUAUACAAAGUGUUCCUGAAUGGUGCAAUAAGAAAUGGGAUCACAGAUUUAUGUACAUAUAUAAAUCACUAAGAGUUCAGAAAUUAAGCUCACUUUAAGAAAACUCGGCCGGGCACGGUGGCUCACGCCUGUAAUCCCAGUACUUUGGGAGGCCAAGGUGGGAGAAUCGCUUGAACCAGGGAGGCGGAGGUUGCAGUGAGCCCAGAUCGCGCCAUUGCACUCUAGCCUGGACAACAGAGCGAGACUCUGACUCCAAAAAAAAAAAAAAAAAAAAAGAAAGAAAGAAAGAAAACUCAUUCUACUUUUCUCUUUGGAGCAGAGGUUGCAAAACUGUGAUGCCUAUCAAAAACGUUGUGUAUAAAAGCUCCAAAACCAAGCAUUAGCCUAAAUUGGCUAUAACUGCAAUUUAAAUCAAAAACUAUAUCCAACUAGAUCUUCGCUGUGGCUAUGCAACUUUUUGCUUUGUGGCCUGAAGGUUUUUACUGAGGUAACAACCUCUUAUCUCUUGUCC
rnacentral:antisense_RNA from 1 species